AGGGAAUCUUCGGCAAUGGACGAAAGUCUGACCGAGCAACGCCGCGUGAGUGAAGAAGGUUUUCGGAUCGUAAAACUCUGUUGUUAGAGAAGAACAAGGAUGAGAGUAGAACGUUCAUCCCUUGACGGUAUCUAACCAGAAAGCCACGGCUAACUACGUGCCAGCAGCCGCGGUAAUACGUAGGUGGCAAGCGUUGUCCGGAUUUAUUGGGCGUAAAGCGAGCGCAGGCGGUUCAUUAAGUCUGAUGUGAAAGCCCCCGGCUCAACCGGGGAGGGUCAUUGGAAACUGGUGGACUUGAGUGCAGAAGAGGAGAGUGGAAUUCCAUGUGUAGCGGUGAAAUGCGUAGAUAUAUGGAGGAACACCAGUGGCGAAGGCGGCUCUCUGGUCUGUAACUGACGCUGAGGCUCGAAAGCGUGGGGAGCAAAC
rnacentral:rRNA from 1 species